UGCUCUUGAAUUCUUUUUUUUUUAAUUAUUGUUUCAUCCAUUUUUUCUAAUUAUUGUUGCAGGUUCGAUGAUCCUCCUAAUUUCAUUUUUCUAAUUACUGUUGGAUCCAUUUUUUCUAAUUACUAUUGCAUAAUUUAUUUAUUUAUUAUUAUGAUAAAUGAUAAUGAUUUAAAAUAUUUAAAGAUGAAUAUAAAAUAUAAAAAUGAAAUGAAAUUGAAGACUUAACAUUUUUUCUUUUAUUUUUAAUUAUUAAUUCUUUUUAUUUAUAAUUUUAUUU
rnacentral:lncRNA from 1 species